rnacentral:rRNA from 1 species
AUUGAACGCUGGCGGCAUGCUUUACACAUGCAAGUCGAACGGUAACAGGCCGCAAGGUGCUGACGAGUGGCGAACGGGUGAGUAAUGCAUCGGAACGUGCCCAGUCGGGGGGGAUAACGCAGCGAAAGCUGCGCUAAUACCGCAUACGAUCUAUGGAUGAAAGCGGGGGACCGUAAGGCCUCGCGCGAGUGGAGCGGCCGAUGUCAGAUUAGGUAGUUGGUGGGGUAAAGGCUCACCCAGGCCACGAUCUGUAGCUGGUCUGAGAGGACGACCAGGCAGACUGUGACGGCGACACGGCCCCGGCUCCUACGGGAGGCAGCAGUGGGGAAUUGUGGACAAGGGGCGCAAGCGUGAUCCAGCAAUGCCGGGUGCAGGAAGAAGGCCUUCGGGUUGUCAACUGGUUUUGUCGGGGAAGAAAUCUUCUGGGUUAAUACCCCGGGAGGAUGACGGUACCUGAAGAAUAAGCACCGGCUAACUACGUGCCAGCCGCCGCCGUAAGAC